GACGAACGCUGGCGGCGUGCUUAACACAUGCAAGUCGAACGGAAAGGCCCUGCUUUUGUGGGGUGCUCGAGUGGCGAACGGGUGAGUAACACGUGAGUAACCUGCCCUUGACUUUGGGAUAACUUCAGGAAACUGGGGCUAAUACCGGAUAGGAGCUCCUGCUGCAUGGUGGGGGUUGGAAAGUUUCGGCGGUUGGGGAUGGACUCGCGGCUUAUCAGCUUGUUGGUGGAGUAGUGGCUUACCAAGGCUUUGACGGGUAGCCGGCCUGAGAGGGUGACCGGCCACAUUGGGACUGAGAUACGGCCCAGACUCCUACGGGAGGCAGCAGUGGGGAAUAUUGCACAAUGGGCGGAAGCCUGAUGCAGCAACGCCGCGUGCGGGAUGACGGCCUUCGGGUUGUAGACCGCUUUCGCCUGUGACGAAGCGUGAGUGACGGUAAUGGGUAAAGAAGCACCGGCUAACUACGUG
rnacentral:rRNA from 1 species